rnacentral:rRNA from 1 species
UACGGGGGGAGCAAGCGUUGUUCGGAUUUACUGGGCGUAAAGGGCGCGUAGGCGGCCAGCACAAGUCAGUUGUGAAAUCUCCGAGCUUAACUCGGAAAGGUCAACUGAUACUGUGCGGCGUAGAGUAGCGGGAAGGGCAACGUGGAAUUCUUGGUAGUAGCGGUGAAAGCGUAGAAUAUCAAGAGGAACACCUGGCGGCGAAGCGGGUUGCUGGGCCGACACGUGACGCUGGAGGCGACGAAAGCUAGGGGAGCGAACGGG